rnacentral:rRNA from 1 species
UGUCGUCAGCUCGUGUUGUGAAAUGUUGGGUUAAGUCCCGCAACGAGCGCAACCCUUAUCCUUUGUUGCCAGCGGUCCGGCCGGGAACUCAAAGGAGACUGCCAGUGAUAAACUGGAGGAAGGUGGGGAUGACGUCAAGUCAUCAUGGCCCUUACGACCAGGGCUACACACGUGCUACAAUGGCGCAUACAAAGAGAAGCGACCUCGCGAGAGCAAGCGGACCUCAUAAAGUGCGUCGUAGUC